rfam:Triticum aestivum genome assembly, contig: Triticum_aestivum_CS42_TGACv1_scaffold_516041_6BS
UUGCUACUCCCAACAUCCGGAAUUACUUGUCGCGGAAAUGGAUGUAUCUAGAUGUAUUCUAGUUCUAGAUGCAUCCAUUUUUAUUCAUUUUUGUGAUAAGUAAUUUGGGACGGAGGGAGUAGUAG